UUAACUCAGUGGUUAGAGUACCGCUUUCAUACGGCGGGAGUCAUUGGUUCAAAUCCAAU
rnacentral:tRNA from 1 species